UUCACCUAUAGUUUCGAUUUAGUUUCUAAGGUUGCCAUAGCUGAAAUCAGCAAGGAGUUAGUGAGGCCUACAAAGAAUAAUAAAGAUUGAAAAAAAAUUAUUCUUGCUUUUGCUUAUUGCCUUUUAAAUUAUUAUUUAAAGAAUUUUGCAAGCAACUACAGCUUACAGCCGAGAAUUUCACAUAGACAGUGCAUAUGAAAUGUUCUUCAAAAGACUAUGCUUUAAGUAUUUAUAUGCAUUUAUACUGAGAAAUUUUUUCUGUACAUAAUAUCAAUAAAAAAACUUUUUCAGGCUUUUGGGCACUUCCUGUCAAAUGUAUGAAAAUCAAAACUUCACGUAAUGUAAUAUGUAGAACACAUCACUGUAUGAAUUCAUCAUUAAGAAGUCUAAUUGUACUCAAGAAAUAAAUCAUGUUUGUGUGUCGAAAUUAUGGCAUGCAAACUGGGAAAGAAAGCGUAUUUGUUGGAAAUAUAUCAGAUUAUCUUUUAAUAAACUGGAACUGAAAAUCAAGGUAUAUGAAUGAACUCCUGCAUAGUGGGAAAUAAUAUUUUUAUAAUCACUUGUAUAUAUGCAUAGUAAAGAAAAAGCUAAUGUGAAGUAUCCAAGAACUAAUCUGAGUAAAAUUCAAUUUAAUCUGCUCUUUGUAUUUAACCUUUCCACAUCUGCAAGAUUAAGCAUUUCUUUCUUCCCAAAUAUGUGUGACAUCUGUCAGUGUUAAAUUUGCAAUGUGAGCUAUGUUAGUUUAGGCCCACUACAAUGUAUAACUGGAAUGCAUGCACAGCUCAUUGAUAACCGUCAAAAGGUUAAUGUAGAACACAAACAUCAUCAUAUGGUAAGUAAGAAGUCGCAGUAUCAAAGCUGUUAGUGAAGAAACUACAUUAACAAUUGAUUUAGAAAAAAGCUUGUUAUGAACGUAUAUAUAUGUACUUGUCUGCAAAUAAAAGGUAUGACAUGUAUGUGGUAUGGUAUAAAUAAAUUUAUAUGUGCUACUUUUUCAUACAAGGCAGAAAUAUUGUGCGGUGAGUCAUUUUGGAAAAGGACUGAUUUAAUGAAUUUCCACAUACGAGAAAACAAACUCAUGUAUGUAGUCAGCAAUUUGGAAUAAGGAGAAUUUAUAAGCAAAACAUAUUUAUCCACUCAAAAUCUUCAUCUUUGUGAAUGUUAAGCAUAUUAUGAUGUUACAAAGAAUGACGUGAAAGUCUUGGCUUCACAUUUAAAUUAGAAGAUUGUAUCUUGGAUUUAAAAAAAAAUCCUGUGUUUUUAGAAAGAAAUUAAAUACAAGGAAUCCUCUUAUGGUGACAUCUUCCUUAGUAGGCCAUCUAUAAAAGUGGUCGGUAUUUCUGAGAACGGCGACUACCAUGAAGGCACGCUAGGGAAGCGGGAGAAAUACCUUAUAAGGUAUUGAUUGUAAAUAGGAUAAUUAAAUGCAAUAUAUCCAUAAUUAUGUUACAUAAUUUUAUUAUUAAUAAAAUUCAUAAUAUAAUUAUUAUUUAUAUUAAGAUAACUGCCAUUAACAUAAUGUAUUUGUCACGUAAUAAUUAUUUAUAUACCUGAAGAUGCUAUAAUAGGUAGAACAGCAUAGCCAUAGGAGUCGGAACUGGCACCCCCCCUGUAAUUUGAACUGGCUAUGCCCUUGAUAUGUAUUAGUCAAGAACACAUCCCAUUUUUUGUAAAUUUGUUUAAUCUAAUAUUCUUAAUCUUUUCCCGUGGGCAACAGAGACCAAUUUUGGCUCUAGUGUAGAAUUGUGUGCACCUUCGAUUAGCGACAAAUUUUGUUCAGUUUUGGUGAUGAAACCCUAUUUCUGGUUACCAUGAUAAUUUUAACUUUGUUUUAGUUUCCUGAUAUUUUUUUAAUGAAAAUAGAUCAAUGUGUACAUGGACAAAGUUAAGGAAGUGCGCAGUGCCUAGUUUGUGAUAUUCUCUGAUUUUUUUAAGUGCAAAUAGAUCAAUGUGUACAUGGGCACCGAGUUUGUCCAAUUCUUUUACUUCUAAUUUUGGUUUUGUGUAGUAGCCAUCUUAAAAUUGUGACUUCCUGGCGCCGAUCUUGGCGCCAAAAAAUAAUCUCCAAAAAAACAAAGGGCACCCAAUUGUCAACUUUUACCCCAAUUUUUUAUGUAUUGGGCUAUUUAUUCAACUAUGUUAACAGGAAGGAGCAGAAAAACAAAUCAGCAUGAUCUUACACUUCCUAUUCGAUAUUAAAGAGUAAAUUUUAAAUCUUCACAAUUUACUGUUAUUUCUUGAGACACAUUUAAAAUAGUGUACGUGCGGGAUAUAUAUGUCCCAGCCCCCUGGGAAAGGAAUUAUAAUUGUGAUGUUUUUUUAAUUUGUACAGGGUAGGGAGGUAUACCUUCUAUAUUUUGCAAACAAUAGUAGCACCAAAAAGAUUGCCACAACCUUGCCUGUGUGACGCAUUUAAGAAUACAUUUUUGCCCAUGGUUAAAAGUAUGUACUCACCCCUAAAUAAAAGGAUCGUAUUGCCAUAUUUAAUGUUUUGUCCCCAAAUAAAUUUCACUCAAAUCUGACUGCAACAUUCUAGGCAAUCAAUACAGUUGACAGUUCGCAAAAAUUAAAUGUAUCCAUAAUUCAAAGCAAAAUAAACUUAUUAAUGUUUUGUUUCUAUAAACAGCUUAUUUGGCCGCCUUAUUGUAUGGGCCUAUAUCACCUACCUUACAGCCAGCAUUCAUUUUACUACAUAGCUAUCUUGGUUUUGAAGGAGUUAUUUUUUAUUUUUAUGUGUCUCAUCUUGUAGACGAUCAGUGUACUAUUGACUAAAUAUAAUAAUAAUACUGAUUUAAUUAUAGUGUGUUUCAUAUGUAGUUAUAACUAUUUGAGUGCAUGAUUGAAUUCCAUUAUAAGAAAAUUAUUUUUUUCUUAAAAGGGCAUUUUUCACAAAUAUUCUGAUGAGGCAAUAUAUAUUAUUUUGAAAAAAAAAAUUAUGUUUUCCAUCUCAUACUUCAGUGAAACAUUGUUUCUCAAAGCUAUAUUGGAGCAAGCACAGCUAACUGUGGCUUAAUAUCCAAACGAAGCUGUUUGGCUUUUAGUCUACAUCUUAUGCCAUGACUGUCAGUAGUUUUAAUUUUGGAAAUAAUGGCGAAAAAUUGUUUAGCGCAAUACAUUUUCAAAUUACAAUAUGCAUAUAAUUAUUUGAAGAAGUAUGUUUCCUCUGACUUAUAUUCAUGCUGAAAGUUUUUUUAGAAUUAGUAUUGUUGACCUUGUAAAUGUAGAAACACAUUAAUGGUGUGUAUGUGUGAUGUUAACAUAUGACAUGAUUAUGUAUGUUGCAUAAGGAAAAAAUGUAAUUUGAGAUCUGAAAAAAUGGAAUGUAAUGUUCCUGCCAAAUACUUGGCAAGUUGAGAGGUAAUUUUAAUUAACAGGAGAGUUAAAAGACAAUUUUUAAAAAAAUGUAUGUAUGCUCAAACUCCUUGUAUACUAAACUCAUAUUUUUCUUGUAAAAUAUUGUAAAAGUACCAACUAAAUUGUCUUCACUAGUAACAGUAACAACUAAUAAAGGUAUUCUUUGCUUUCAA